rnacentral:rRNA from 1 species
GAUGAACGCUGGCGGCGUGCCUAAUACAUGCAAGUCGAGCGAACAGACGAGGAGCUUGCUCCUUCGACGUUAGCGGCGGACGGGUGAGUAACACGUAGGUAACCUACCUAUAAGACUGGGAUAACUUCGGGAAACCGGAGCUAAUACCGAAUAAUAUUUCGAACCGCAUGGUUCGAUAGUGAAAGAUGGCUUUGCUAUCACUUAUAGAUGGACCUGCGCCGUACUAGCUAGUUGGUAAGGUAACGGCUUACCAAGGCAACGAUACGUAGCCGACCUGAGAGGGUGAUCGGCCACACUGGAACUGAGACACGGUCCAGACUCCUACGGGAGGCAGCAGUAGGGAAUCUUCCGCAAUGGGCGAAAGCCUGACGGAGCAACGCCGCGUGAGUGAUGAAGGUCUUCGGAUCGUAAAACUCUGUUAUUAGGGAAGAACAAACGUGUAAGUAACUGUGCACGUCUUGACGGUACCUAAUCAGAAAGCCACGGCUAACUACGUG